CUCCCCCUUGACAAAAAAACACAAAGGGUCGGAGAAAAGGCACCUUGAGAUACACCACUUGCCUGUUAUGAAUGGACAAGAUGGAUACACGAGCAAAUAAGAGAACAAACAAGAGUAAUUUCCAGGAAAUCAGACCAGCUUACAUUCAUGAAUGGAUAACUUGCCCACCAUGACACAGGGAACUGUCAUUAUCUCUCGUUUGCUCUCUGAAUUAACAAAACGGAAGCAAAGAGAGGUGGCACAGAUUCUUUGUUGUUUUUGCUGCAUCACAGAAUUGAAAUGGCAUCACCUCCAGAGGUUGUUACUCCAGAUUAAUGACUCUGAUGAAAAUAUGACAAGAAUUUACAAAGGAUUGCAAGCACAUCUCCAAACUAAUGUGCAU